CCUACGGGUGGCAGCAGUGGGGGAUAUUGCGCAAUGGGCGAAAGCCUGACGCAGCGACGCCGCGUGAGGGAUGAAGGUCUUCGGAUCGUAAACCUCUGUCAGCAGGGAAGAACGGUCACUGUGCUAAUCAGCAGUGAAUUGACGGUCCCUGCAAAGGAAGCACCGGCUAACUCCGUGCCAGCAGCCGCGGUAAUACGGAGGGUGCGAGCGUUAAUCGUAAUUACUGGGCGUAAAGCGACCGUAGGCGGUAUGUCAAGUCAAGGGUGAAAACCCAUGGCUCAACGUUGGAACUGCCUUUGAAACUGGCAAACUAGAGUGUGUGAGAGGGUAGUGGAAUUCCAGGUGUAGGAGUGAAAUCCGUAGAUAUCUGGAGGAACAUCAGUGGCGAAGGCGACUAUCUGGCACAUAACUGACGCUGAGGAGCGAAAGCGUGGGGAGCAAACAGGAUUAGAUACCCGUGUAGUC
rnacentral:rRNA from 1 species